AUCUUUAUAGUUUAUAAAUAAAAAUAUUACACUGAAAAUGUAAAGAAAAUUUUUAAAGGUA
rnacentral:tRNA from 1 species